UGAGGAAUAUUGGGCAAUGCCCGCAAGGGUGACCCAGCAACGCCGCGUGGAGGAUGAAUGUCGUAAGAUUGUAAACUCCUGUUAGAGGGGAAGAAUAGUACCGGUUGGACCGGUAUAUGACUGUACCCUCAGAGAAAGCCCCGGCUAACUACGUGCCAGCAGCCGCGGUCAUACGUAGGGGGCACGCGUUGUCCGGAUUUACUGGGUGUAAAGGGCGCGCAGGCGGGAUAAAAAGUCAGUGGUGAAAUCCUACAGCUUAACUGUAGAACUGCCUUUGAUACUUUUAUUCUUGAGUUCGGGAGAGNGAGACGGAAUUCCAGGUGUAGUGGUGAAAUACGUAGAUAUCUGGAAGAACACCAGUUGCGAAGGCGGUCUCUUGGUCCGACACUGACGCUGAGGCGCGAAAGCGUGGGGAGCAAAC
rnacentral:rRNA from 1 species